rnacentral:tRNA from 1 species
GGCGCCGUCGCCAAGUGGUAAGGCUCCAGACUGCAAAUCUGGCAUCGUCAGUUCGAUUCUGACCGGCGCCU